AUUGAACGCUGGCGGCAUGCCUUACACAUGCAAGUCGAACGGCAGCACGGGAGCAAUCCUGGUGGCGAGUGGCGAACGGGUGAGUAAUACAUCGGAACGUGCCCAGUAGUGGUGGAUAACCCGGCGAAAGCCGGACUAAUACCGCAUACGACCUACGGGUGAAAGCGGGUGAUCGCAAGACCUCGCGCUAUCGGAGCGGCCGAUGUCGGAUUAGCUAGUUGGUGGGGUAAAGGCCUACCAAGGCGACGAUCUGUAGCUGGUCUGAGAGGACGACCAGCCACACUGGGACUGAGACACGGCCCAGACUCCUACGGGAGGCAGCAGUGGGGAAUGUUGGACAAUGGGCGCGAGCCUGAUCCAGCCAUGCCGCGUGCGGGAAGAAGGCCUUCGGGUUGUAAACAGCUUUUGUCAGGGAAGAAACGCUCCGGGCUAAUACCACGGAGUAAUGACGGUACCUGAAGAAUAAGCACCGGCUAACUACGUG
rnacentral:rRNA from 1 species